rnacentral:rRNA from 1 species
UACGUAGGAGGCGAGCGUUGUCCGGAGUUACUGGGCGUAAAGGGUGCGCAGGCGGCGGUUCGCGUGGAUAGAUGAAAUCUCCUGGCUUACCUGGGAGGAUGGUAUCCAGACGGGAUCGCUUGAGGGUCGGAGAGGGGCGUGGAAUUCCGGGUGGAGCGGUGAAAUGCGCAGAUAUCAGGAGGAACACCGGUGGCGAAGGCGGGUCUCUGGGCCGAUACUGACGCUGAGGAGCGAAAGCGUGGGGAGCGAACAGG